rnacentral:rRNA from 1 species
GAUGAACGCUGGCGGCGUGCCUAAUACAUGCAAGUCGAGCGAACAGACGAGGAGCUUGCUCCUCUGACGUUAGCGGCGGACGGGUGAGUAACACGUGGAUAACCUGCCUAUAAGACUGGGAUAACUUCGGGAAACCGGAGCUAAUACCGGAUAAUAUAUUGAACCGCAUGGUUCAAUAGUGAAAGACGGUUUUGCUGUCACUUAUAGAUGGAUCCGCGCCGCAUUAGCUAGUUGGUAAGGUAACGGCUUACCAAGGCAACGAUGCGUAGCCGACCUGAGAGGGUGAUCGGCCACACUGGGACUGAGACACGGUCCAGACUCCUACGGGAGGCAGCAGUAGGGAAUCUUCCGCAAUGGGCGAAAGCCUGACGGAGCAACGCCGCGUGAGUGAUGAAGGUCUUCGGAUCGUAAAACUCUGUUAUUAGGGAAGAACAAAUGUGUAAGUAACUAUGCACGUCUUGACGGUACCUAAUCAGAAAGCCACGGCUAACUACGUG